GCCUUCGUGGUGUAGCGGUCAGCAAGCUCGAAGCGUAUUCGAGAGGUUCGUGGUUCGAAUCCCGGCGAAGGCA
rnacentral:tRNA from 1 species